rnacentral:rRNA from 1 species
UUCAAUUAGAGAGUUUGAUCCUGGCUCAGGAUGAACGCUGGCGGCGUGGAUAAUGCAUGCAAGUCGAACGGCUCCGACGACUAAUUUGUAGCAAUACAGAAAGGACGUCGGGGUAGUGGCAGACGAGUUAGUAACACGUAGGAACUUACCCCAGAGACGGAUAUAAUCCGGCGAAAGCCGGACUAAUUUCCGAUAGUCUCGUAAGAGUAAAUCACUUAGAUUGGCUCUGGGAGAGGCCUGCGGGCUAUCAGCUAGUUGGCGAGGUAAUGGCUCACCAAGGCUAUGACGGCUAGGGGGCGUGAGAG